GUAGGAGGGGUUAUAAAGGGCAAGUGGGGCAAAAAGAUAUUGAGACAGACAGCCCAGGGGCUCUGCCACUCUAUCAUGGUCCUGUGGUCACCUCUAUUCUUGACAGUCUCCCUGGAGAGUAGAAGCUGGCAAUGUUUGUCUGAGAGGCCAGAGAAGCCAGGACUUGCCUAAGAACAUCCUGAGAACCAGUUGACAGAAAAGUGGUCACAAAAUACAAGCCAAAGACUGCUGAAUCUACUCCCUUAGAAGGAAAUGAUCCCUGCUGGACCCACCAGAACCAUAGCUUUCCAUUCUGAGG